AUCAGCUGCUCAUAUCACACCCGAAAGGAGUCUGGGUUCAUCGUGAUAACGGGCAUAAGACUUUUGGCCUUCCUAUGAACAAAUACUCUACAUGU
ensembl:snoRNA